rnacentral:misc_RNA from 1 species
GAAAUGCGAUAAGUAGUGUGAAUUGCAGAAUUCAGUGAAUCAUCGAAUCUUUGAACGCAAAUUGCGCUCUCGGGUUACCCCCAAGAGCACACCUCUCUGAGUGUCGGUUUAACCAAAUGUCACCAAUUUAUUGGUGUACGACAGACUGAGGGUAAGGAGUUUCGGCUUCUUUCCCUUUAAAUAUCAGCCGCACGACUGUGUGUGUUCGUGGCAAGUUGCUUUCACUUAAUUGUGAAUCCAAUCCAUGAACCCUAAGUCGGGUAGCCAUAAGAAACAACUGAUUGGUCUGCGAAAGCGGAAACGAUCAACUUAUGAAUUAGACCUCAGAUGAAGUGGGAAGACCCCCUGAAUUUAA